CCGAAUGGGGAAACCCAGUGUGAUUCGUCACACUAUCAUUAACUGAAUCCAUAGGUUAAUGAGGCGAACCGGGGGAACUGAAACAUCUAAGUACCCCGAGGAAAAGAAAUCAACCGAGAUUCCCCCAGUAGCGGCGAGCGAACGGGGAGGAGCCCAGAGCCUGAAUCAGCAUGUGUGUUAGUGGAAGCGUCUGGAAAGGCGCGCGAUACAGGGUGACAGCCCCGUACACAAAAGCGCAUGUGCUGUGAGCUCGAUGAGUAGGGCGGGACACGUGGUAUCCUGUCUGAAUAUGGGGGGACCAUCCUCCAAGGCUAAAUACUCCUGACUGACCGAUAGUGAACCAGUACCGUGAGGGAAAGGCGAAAAGAACCCCGG
rnacentral:rRNA from 1 species